UUCUCAGGCUUUCUUUGUGUUGAAUAAGUAAAACGGUUUUAAUCUGGAAACAAAACUUUGAGUCAUGUUGCAAUUCCAGUUUCUUAUAGACGACUCUUAUUAUUAUAGUGCGGUGUUAUUUAUAAUCACCAGACCUCUUAAGCAAAUAGCCUAGCAAAAUAAUGCAGGCGGGGAAACUGUGGACCAGUCCAUUCCAAACUUUAUUUUCAGGUAGAGGCAUCUUUUGAUCUUGAAAUUAGAAUAUAGCACAUAUAGUGUAGAUUAAGAUCAUAUAUCAGUAAAAAGAUGCUAGUUGCCACAGUACAGUUUAAACCAUAAUUUGACUUUCUUCAGCUAAGAUCUGCCUUUUUUUGACUGUCAAUUUUUCUGAUUUUUUCCGCCAAUUCUGUUGGUUUGUUCAUAAACACUUGGGAAAAGGCGUUCAUCGGGUUAUACCAUCUUGUUUCGUGUCUAAGAUACGUAGAGAAUAUCCAAGUACGAAUGGGGUGUAUACUGGCUUCAAACAAGGUGAAGAAAUAUCUGAAAUUGAUUUUUCUCGGACAAAUGAAGUUGAAGAUGAGAAUAUUUGAUUGUAAGUUAAAAACAACAGUCUUUUUCAGGAGAGGCGUUCGAUCGCAUGCGCACGCCGUGGCACACGCGUAAAUCGUUUCAGGCGUGUGAUUAAUUGAAUUAAUAUUGAGUUUUAAAAACUCAUUUUACAGCGUGCGAUGGCAGCCUUCGAAAUAAUUUUUGGAGUCUCGUCAGACAAAAUGCUCGCCACAUUUCUAGUUUGGUCGGACAUGGGCGUUUAAUAGGCGUUUAUUCAAAGCAUUACGGUAUAAAAAGUAUAAAUAUGAAUAACCUUGAACCAAGUAUUUCUUUUUGUUCGAUAAUUGAGAUAGCUUUGGUAAUAGAAUAGGGGUAUUGGGAACCAGGUUUAUAAUUGUCGAGGAAGUAUAAAGGUACAUAAAACACAAUUUAUUUAAUGCGUUUGUAUUUUCUAUAAUUCCUUUUUUUGCUGGUUGGCUUUCUGGAGUACGAUAUAUGUACGCUAUGUCAACAACAGUUGUCAUAUCGUUUGGUAUAUUACAAAAAGUGAUUCAGAUUCGUCAAGGAUUUUAACUUGUAAUGUCGCGUCAGAUUUUUUUAUUUCAUCACCGCACGUUGCUGUCUGCGUUUGAGCAUUGGCCACUCCAAGGGAUGUCUGCGUAGAUAUACUUUUACCAGCUUUAAAAUAAUCUGCUUUAAUUUGUGUAGAGUCAGACAUUCUGUUUGUGUGGACAGGGACAUUAAGUUCUAUCUCUGAAAGUGAGUUGCAUGCUUUGAAAUUAAAUAUUCAUAAAUUGCUACAUUUUUUUAAAAAGGGGGUAAAAUAUUAAUAAAAAUUAAAUUAAUCUGGUACUAUUGUUCAGAGUAAAACAAUCAUUUUCUAUUUACAAUGUUUUGAUUCGCUGAGAACCCAAUGCUUACGUCACAACAAAAUAUUAUUUUAGCCUCCCUUUCAUGUAGAAUGGCUUCGGUAUAAAUUUGCUUUUGACAAUGUGCGAUAUGAAAAAUUUGUAAACAUAAAAGAAAUGUUAUUCGAGUUGUAAAACUUUAGAAAUAUAACCACUUAUAUUGUCGCAACAAGUAAGAAAAGUGCAAUUAAGUUCAGGCUACAUUUUUAUUAUUAUAUUUUUACUGGACAGUACCAUUUUUGUGAAAUAUUUUGAAAAAAAACUUACAAUUCUUGCACAUAUGUUUUAAAAUACUAAAUUUUCAUGCUGCGAGACUAAUUAUUUCUUCAGAAAAUGAGAAAUAUUUAUAAUGCCCAUGGUCAAAGACUUAUUAAAUUCACUCUGUUUACUUCCUUUUGUCAGUACAGAGAAAGGGCGAACAACUUAAACUGAAGAGGUGUAUUACAUGAUUUCACUUUCGUCAAUAAUGUUCUCUGUUCACUGGCAAAACUGUAUGCCUGACUUCAUUUGCUUAGCCUAAGUCUAUGUAGAAUCCACUACAUUACCCAUUUUAUAUAGAUGACUUGCUAUUGCUUACAAAAGUUAAAAGAGUUUGUGGUUGUUUUGCACAUGUGCAAGCAUUUCUGUAGAUAGAAAAUAUAAACUACAUGACCACAGUAAUCUAAGAAAUUCAUCCAAAAAAAACAUUUGCUUAAAAUUAGUGAAUUUCUUUAUGAAGAGUUAAGAAUGUAUAGUUAAAAUUUAAUUCCAGUUUCUCUUGGAUCUUAAGGUGGUGAUACACGAUUUGAUUAAUGGAAUUCGAUUUGUUGAAUUUGACAAAUUGAAUCGUGUAUCAUGUAAAAAUGGUAUGCUUUCGGCAUGUUUGAAAAUGUGAGUUUCUAUCUAUUUGUUAAUUCGCUUCACUAAGUUUUCUUAAUUCAGUCAUCACCUUAAGAAAACAAAAAGAAAUAUAAAAGAAAAUAAAUAGGACAAGAUUCAUUGCACAUUCUAUAUUCUAAGGUUUCGGUCGAUCUUCUACCAUUUUCAAUGUCCAGUCGUAUAAAUUUCAACAAAUUUUAUAGAAAGUGUUACAAUCAAGUAUAGUCAAUGGGGGUAAAAAAAUCAACAAAAUCAGGGUAAAAAAAACAAUGGCUCCUACCUAGGGAAUAAUGGUGAAUUUUUAGUUUUAGCUGAUUUUUCAUUUAUAGGAAUAUCUGAAGCAUAUUUUGGCCAAGUAUUAAGUUUUCAAGGUUAAUAGUUUUUAAUUUAUAAUUAUUUAACUUUGGAUGUUAAAAAUUAUGACAAACAACUUUCAAACCACAUUAACUUUUUAUUUCAGUUUUUAGGUAGAAUUGGGUUGAAGUUUGUUAAUGCUGUCAUAAUACAAGUAUCAUAGGGUGUUACUUGGUAUAUAUUGAUUUUACUCUGAGUAGGCUGUUAUUCUGGCAUGACUAUGGUUUUUUUACCCUAUUUUUUUUUUAUAAAUGGGGUAAAAAAUAAUAUAUUUUUGAAUUUCCGCGCCCGAAGGCGUAGGAAAGUCUUUAAAACCGUCGUUUUUUCUUUCGGAGCAUUUUUUGAGAAAAAAUCGACCCUGGGAUUUCACGUUGGUCCGUCACAGAUGUAAACUUCGUACUCAAGCUCCUUAACUACUGAGAAGUCUAGUAUUGAUGCUUCAAGCCAAAAUUGGUAUUUGUUUUCGACAAAAUUUGACACAGUUAACAAAAAAAGUAUGCUGAACAUAAUGGUGACAUAAUAAUUUUCAUUUUUGUCACCUAAAUGUCAUUUUAGGCCAAAAUUGGUCCAAAAAUUAGAACUACUUUAUUUUCAACAAAAUUUGGCACAGUAAACAAAUAUAGUAUGCUGAACAUGAUGGUGGCAUCAAAAUUUUGAUUUCUUGUUACCUAAAUGUCAUUUUAGGCCAAAAUUGGUCCAAAAAUUAAAAAUACUUUAUUUUUAACAAAAUUUGGCACAGUUAACAAAAAAAGUAUGCUGAACAUAAUGGUGACAUCAAAAUUUUGAUUUUUGUCACCUAAAUGCUAUUUUAGGCUAAAAUUGGUCCAAAAAUUAAAACCACUUCAUUUUCGGCUAAAUCUGGCACAGUUAACAAAUAAAGUAUGCUGAAAAUGAUGAUGGUACAAAAGUUUGGUUUUUGUCACCUAAAUGUCAUUUCAGGCCAAAAUUUAUCCAAAAAUUAAAACUGCUUUAUUUUCGACAAAAAUUCACACUGUUAAUAAAAAAAGUAUGCUGAAAAUGAUGGUCACAUCAAAAUUUUGAUUUUUUGUCAACUAAUGCCGUUUAAGACCAUAAUCGUUUCAAUCACAAGAUUUUUAACCAUGAAUGAUAGGCUGUAUUUUUUGUUAGCAAUUUCUUUUAAAAUGUGAGUUUAUUAUGACACGUUUCGUUUUGUUUGCGUUUGUUCUAAGAUAUAAUGUCACUGAUAGGCUUUAUCUUCAGAGGUUCAUGCACCAAACCCCUUUGAAUGUUUGGCACAAUAACACAACGAAUUAGCAGGUUUUCAUCAAAUAUUUUGGUAGCGCUCGGAAAUUCUUAGAGUCCCCCAGGGCUUUUUGUUAAUUUUUAACCCAAUGUUUAUUUUUUUACCCCACUACAGUAAUAAUGGUAAAAUUGGAGAUGGUAGGUGUAAAAUAAUUAUUUACUUCUAUUCAUUUUAGAUUACUAACUAUAUAAUUGCAUAUUAUUAAGUAAAUCAACAAACUUUCUAAAAUGGUUAGGUCAUAUAGACCAAAACCCAAACUAUACACUGAAGCCUCUAUUAACACUGCUGUAGAUAAAGUUAAGAACGGGGCGACGGUGUAUAAAACAGCUAAGAAGUAUCACAUUUCAAUUUCGAUGUUAAGAAAAAGAUUUUAGGAGGCAAAAGGUCAUUUCAAUAGAAAGAAACAAGGUCGCAAGAAUGACCUUUCUGCAGAGGAUGAAAACCAUCUAGCCGAAUGCAUCAAAAAGAUGUCAGAACUAGGCUUUGGUCCAACACUCAUAGAGCUCAGACAAAUAGUCCAAGACUUUGUUGUUAUGAAAAACUUAAAGACACAUUUCAAGGAUAAUAUGCCAGGUCAUGACUGCACAAGGUCAUUUUUGAAGCGCCAUAAGUUGAGCCUUAAGAAGGGAGGGCAGAUGCAAUUAGCCCGGAAGAAUGUAACCUCUGAUCCUUUUGUCAUAUACCGAUUUUUUGCACUUUUGAAGCACUGAACAAUGAAGUUGAGCGUCUUGGAAUAAAGGAUAAACCCGAGUGUGUUUACAACUGUGACGAAUCAGGGUUUCCAACAGCCCCCUCAAAAUGUAAAUAUGUGGGUGAGAUUGGCAAGAAAUGUAUAUAAGUUACAAAUGGCUCAAACAGGGAAAAUUCAACAGUCUUGGCUGUGUGCUGCGCUGAUGGUACUUCACUGGACCCCCUCAUCAUUUUUAGGGGAAAGAAUCUUCAAUUGACAUGGUUAGGAGCAUAUGCUCUAGAAAAUACUUACUUUAGUGUAAGUGACAGUGGUUGGAUGACCACAAAGAUAUUUGAUCAUUGUUUCAGAUAUUGACAUUUGAUGGUCAUAUUACUCAUUUGUCAACUGCUACAAUUGAUUUUGCAAUGGAGCAAAAUAUAUCCUUAAUAACGUUGCCAGCCCAUUGUACAGAUGUGUUGCAGCCACUAGAUGUUGGCUGUUUCAAUCCCUUAAAGGUUCACUAUGAGCAGUACCUUACAGAGUUUGUGCAUAGAACUGGUGGACGCCAAAAGCUUCAAAAACUUGCCUUUUGUAAUCUAAUUGGAAGCAUUUGGAGAAAAGGCUUGACAAAAGAAAAUAUCAUUUCUGCUUUCAACACUACUGGAAUUUUUCCAGUAGAUGAAACAAAGUACAAGGUUUCUCGCCUAGACAAGUGAAACUAAACUCUUACAUGAAGUGGAGAGAAGAAGGAUCACUGGUUGACGAGGAUGGAUCUCCCAUCUUAAUCAAUCAAACCAAAGAAUCAAACAUAGCAUUCAACCUAAACAGUUCACAAGCAGAUAGCUCUUUUAACGAAGCAGUGCAGGUGUCCGUGUCAAUUUGCAAGUCGCUUUCAUCAAAACGCAAUAAGUCACCAAAGAAGUUACCCUUCUCUGUGCGUUCAUUACAAGAUUCCAGUGAUGAGGAAAGUGUCAAUUCAAGUUUUGAUGAUCAGAUGGCUUCCUGCAGUAACCACAAUCCAACCAAUUAAUGAAACCAGAGGAGAUCUUGAAGCUAUUAGAGCAUAAUGCACCUCCCGGUUAUAAGUAUGCAAUUACACUUGUCCUAAAAGAGACGGACAGUAUUGAAAAGGUUUUAAAAAGAAGAAUGUCAUCAAUAACAACACUGACGUCAAGUGGAAAAGAUGCCCCAAAGAGACAAAAAAUUUCAAUGAAUGGAGCAGUAUUGACAAGUCCUGAAUAUCGAGCAAAAAUUGUAGCCAAAAAGAAAGCAAAAGAAGACGAGGAAAAUGCAAAAAAAAAAGAGAAGAGAUCAAAAGAAAAGACAAAACAACAAAAAGCAAAGGCAAAGAAGGCUAAAAGCCAAGCCAAGAAAAAUAAACAAUAUAAAAAACAGGGGCCAUGAUUUCCGAAAAAUGCUUAAGGGCAUGGUACGUGAUGACACUGAAUCAGAAGAAGAGGGAAGUGGUGAAGAUGUAGAUAUCCCAGGAGAGUCGGACAAUGAAAACCAAGGAGUUAUUAAUGAAGCCAAUGAUAAAAAAGAAACCGCUGAUCACCAAGGCCAAGAAAACACCGAUCACCAAGGCCAAGAAAACACCGAUCACCAAGGCCAAGAAAACACUACCUCUACCCUUGAUCAUUUACACUUUUCCUGGGUUUUUUUUUCUCAAAAUAAAUUAAAUGGCCGUUUAUUGCAAUUAGAUAACCCUAGAAGUCACCAAGUCCAGGUCAAACUCACAUACUUCCAAAAUCUAAGUAUUUGCCAGUAUGUUUUGUUUGAAAUACAGUGUUGGUUUUUAGCCAUGUAAUAUCCCGUUUUCAUGAUUUUAGUUCACCGUUUACAGGAAUGUUUUAAGAACGAAAUGAUAACUUCUGUAGUCCUUCUGUAGUAAUUUUCUAAACUUUAUAACAAAAUACAGCUGGGUAUGAGCUUUAAGAACGUUUUAAGAACGAAAUGAUAACUUCUGUAGUCCUUCUGUAGUAAUUUUCUAAACUUUAUAACAAAAUACAGCUGGGUAUGAGCUUUAUACUUUCAUUUUUGUAAUCUAAGAACACAAUGCAUCAAUGUCCUUGUCAAUUUAAAAUGAAAUACGGCAAUUUUGAAGCUUCACAGGGUCAUUUUAGAAGGAAAUACAGAGAUUUUAAAGCUUUGCAGGGUCAUGUUCUCGACCUUUCAGAAUGAAAUAGGGUGAUUUUAAAGCUUCGCAGGGUCAUCUUUGUUAUUUCUUCACUUCUAAACGAAAUACAGCCAUUAGUAUAUCAAAGUACAGCAAUGUUUAGCUUCACAAAGUGAUAUGUUUAUCAAUUUAGAAUAAAUUAACCAUUUAUAAAGCUUUGUGAAAUCAUUUUAGCUUUGCAAAGAAUUCUCAUAUAUUCUUACAAACAAGUCGUUCUCUUCAUAUUUAUGUUUGUUUAAUAGAUUUUGUCAGUUUUAAAUUACUUCUAUGCCCCAACAGUUAUUUGCUUAAAGUCUUCCUUUUUAUCAGUGGUAAUACUUGUUACAAAUAUUUAAAGAUUGCAAGGCAAUUGAAAUAAAAUUUUAUGAAUUACAAAAAACGAGUUCCCCAACUCACUGUCUGGGACCUUGUUGUUUACGAAAUUGGUAUUUCUACUUUUAAAAACAUAAAGAACAAAAUUGGUGUUGCUAGAAAUAGGAAUACAAAUAUCGUUAAAAACAUGCGUAUUUUAAAAAAAUACGAAAUACGAAUUUCGUCUUUUUAAAAAAUACGCAUAUCUUUUAAAAAUACAAAAUAUGAAUUUCGUAUUUUUAAAAAUACGAAAUUCGUAUUUUGUAAUUUUUAAAAUGCAAGUUUCCGUAUUUUGUAUUUUAAAAAUAAGAAUAUCGAAGUGGUCGAUUUUCCUAGAAAGCGUCACAUAUUAGAAAAACAACUAAUAAUUUUCUGAUUUCUUUGUAUAGAUUUUGUAUACAUUUUCUACUGAUAUUGUUUUACAACUUCAAACAAGGUUCAAAAACCAAAAUUAUUAUUGGUUCGUUUAAUUCAUAAUAAUAUUAAUAUUUCUGUAAAACAAGGUUAAUAGUUUACAAAUAACUUCCAGUAAUUUGAAAAGUUUUUUGAGAGUUACGUAUAUAAAUUGGUUCAAGAAACCAUGAUCGGUUUAAAACCAUCGUUAUUGUCAUAUCAGAUUUACUACUUAAUAAUUAUUAACCAUUUUAAAAGUUAGUUUAUAUUAAUUGGGCUAUUAUCACAUAUCUUAAUUUAAAAAUAAUAAAGUUUUUUCGUUAUCGAAGUUAUUUUAUAAAAUUUUUACUAUUAUAUAUCUUUAUUUAAGAAUAAUAAAAAGUUUGUUUCGUUAUAUGCGAUUGUGCAGAGCUUAUUAAAAAACGCCUUAUAAAAAAAAAUGUUUUUUUAUAAAGUAAUGCUACUUGAAUUUAUCACUGAUCCCUGAUAAAAGGUUGAUAUUAUCAAAAAAACUAUAAGGUUAAAAAAAAAACUAUAAAAGUUUUAAAAUAAGGGCUACCCCCUUAUUUUAUAGUUUUUUUUGCAUAAAAUAUCACAUUUCACAAAGAAAAUUAAAGUUUAGAUAGCGCUAACAAAAAUUUCUGCAAACAUUUUAAAUUUACAAGAUAAUAAAAAAUAAUAAAUAUUGACACUAUAAUCACCAUGAUGGCAAAUUAACACUUUGAACUAGGUAUUUUACACUUAAAAAAUUGUAAUGUAAAUUUUAAUAAAGUAUCUCUACAUUAUACUACUGGCAAAAUAUUUGCUCAUUUGUUUACAUGAAGUCUUUGCUGUUUAAUACAUUUUUGUCCCAUAAGUAUAGUUGCAAAGUAUAAUUAAAGAUUUACAUUGACCACCAGGGAUAAAAUGUUUAUUUUAGGUGCUGAUUUAUGAAGUUUAUACAACGCCAUAUUUUUUCUAAAAGCAUGGAAACGCGAUUAUUUAACUUUUAAACAAAGCAUUUUGCUUAACAAGCAUCAAAACAUGAUUGUAUAAAGUUGAAACAAUGCUGAAUUUUGUUCUAAAACCAUCAAAACGUGAUCGUAUAAAUUUUAAACUCGGCUGUAUUUUCUUUUACAAGCAUCAAAUCUUUAUAAUAUGAAGCAUAAACAGUGCUGUAUUUUCACACAUUCAUAGAAAUGUGUGAUUUGGUAUGGGCUGCGAAUAGUAUCAAAAUUAAAGCCACCACAAAUAGCGCGUUAUAUUGACCAAAAGUUUUUGUUUAUGUAUUUUUUUUGCAUAUAGCAGCGUUUUUUUGUUGUUUUCUUAUAAUCGCGUAGCUUUAUAUAAUAUACCUGAAAUAAUGAAACCAGUAGAUAUAUAAUAUAUCCGAAUUUUGAGAAAUUUCGCAUCAAAUGAGGGUGUUCAUUGUCUUAAAAUGAUUGUUUUGAUUUACUGUAUGUUGACAAUGCUAUAAUGUUCGAAAUUGACUCGAGUUGUGUGCUCCCCAGCCUUAUCUCGGUUAUCCGAAAAUAGUCACAACUUUUAAUAUGAUUCAAUUUAUCAUCAUCUCUUUCUUUAAGUUUGUGCCUUGAUAUUAUGCCAAAUUUUAUCUUUGUAUAUUUUAUAUUUUAAUGAAUACAUUUUAUUUAUUUACCAUCA